ensembl:lncRNA
CCGGGGCCUCGGGGUGGCAGCUCAGGGGCACGGACGAGCACAGCGGGUGGGUGAUCUUUCUUGGUAGCUCAGGUCCUUCCUCAUCGGUGUCUGAGCUCCUUGGUUGUCAUGAAAGACCACAGGAAUACCCCUUUCUACUCUCUUAUGCCAUGGAUGGCUUUAUGACGUUCAGUAAGGAGUCAGACCACCAUUCCCACGGGUCUCGCCAUGUAGUUCUUGCUGUCCUUGAAUUCACUGUUCAGCAGUGACAGGCUGCUUUCAAACUCACAGAAACCCACCUGCCUCUACCUCCCCAAGUACUGGGAUUCAAGGCGGAACCCUGGAACUCGGGUUCUUAGACUCUGCAGCAAGCAUCCUUACUCCCUGAGCCAUCUUACCGUCUCUCCACAACAGUUUUUGGACAGGAUCAGUAUUCCUGCUUUUUGAAACAUUUGAUAAUAGUGACCAGUGACUCUGUCUAGGAAUGGCAUCUCCUUUGUGAGCGGACUGUAAUCACCUAUCAGUUCGUUUACUUGCUUUUGAUCUUUCACACCUUUCUAUUUCUCCCUGAAUCAGUUUUGAUAGUUUAUUGCUUUUCAGGAAUUUGUUAUUUCAUUUAAUUAGUGAGUAAUUCAGAUUUCAAUAAUUUGUGCAUUUUUUCUUUAUUUAUUUAAAUAAAUUUAUUUUUAUUUUUGUGAGACAGUGUCUCGUGUAUCCCAAGCUAUCUGAAACUUCCCUUGAACUUGCUUUGACCUUGAACCCUUUGGUCCUCCUGCCUUAGCUUCCCAGGUGUUGGGUUUGUGUGUGUGUGUGUGU